rfam:Brachypodium distachyon strain Bd21 chromosome 5, whole genome shotgun sequence.
CUAGUACUCCCUCCGUCCCAUAUUAAAUGACUCAAAUUUGUCCAAACAUGAAUGUAUCUAGACCUAAAAAGCGUCUAGAUACAUGUAAUAGAAAGUCAUUUAAUAUGGGACGGAAAGAGUAGCAU